rnacentral:lncRNA from 1 species
AUCAAGAGGUUCAACCACGAAGCAAAUUUACAACUAAAAGAUCCUUACAUUUCUUUGUCCUUGGAAAAAUAGAGAUCAUUCAUCAUAAAAAGGGGCCCUUUAAAUGGUAGGGAUCUAAAUAGGGUUCGUCGAACCGUGUUGAACUGUACCGAUGGCCAACCGGGAUGGUUCCACCAUUCGAAAUGAAAGACUGCGAGGAGGGGAGGG